AAGGAUGUCAGCACAGUCUCUUAAAGCAACAUGCCACACUUAACUUGCUUCAGCUUGGGCAAAUACUGACUGCUGCUACAGAGGCCCUCAGAAGCCGUUGGUGGCAACCCUGACCUUGACCUCCACUGCUGGACAUAGAAAUGGCUAACAAUGUUACUAUACCCUCAACAACUCAUCAGGGAAAUUAUUGUGAUCUCUAUGCUCACCACAACACAGCUAGAAUACUAAUGCCUGUGCAUUACAGCCUUGUCUUUAUCAUUGGGCUGAUGGGAAACUUGUUGGCCUUGGUUGUCAUUGUUCAAAACAGGAAAAAAAUCAACUCUACCACCCUCUACUCAACAAAUUUAGUGAUUUCUGACAUCCUGUUUACCACUGCUUUGCCCACUCGGAUAGCCUACUAUGCACUGGGCUUUGACUGGAAAAUAGGUGACGCCUUGUGCAGGAUAAGUGCUCUUGUGUUCUACAUCAACACAUAUGCAGGUGUAAACUUUAUGACCUGCCUAAGUAUUGACCGUUUCUUUGCUGUGGUGCACCCUCUGCGUUACAACAAGAUCAAAAGAAUUGAAUAUGCAAAGGGUGUUUGCAUAUUUGUCUGGGUACUAGUAUUUGCUCAAACGCUCCCACUACUCAUCAACCCUAUGUCAAAGCAAGAAGCUGGAAGGACUACUUGCAUGGAAUAUCCCAAUUUUGAAGAGACAGAUUCUCUUCCUUGGAUUCUGCUGGGUGCAUGUUUCCUGGGAUAUGUGCUACCACUCCUAAUCAUUCUCAUCUGCUAUUCCCAAAUCUGUUGCAAACUUUUUAGAACUGCUAAAAGGAACCCAUUAACAGAGAAGUCUGGUGUAAACAAAAAGGCACUCAACACCAUUAUCUUUAUCAUCGUUGUAUUUGUUCUCUGCUUCACACCUUACCAUGUUGCAAUUAUUCAACACAUGGUUAAGAAGCUUUGCUCUCCUCAUGUCAUAGAAUGCAGCCAAAGAUACUCUUUCCAGAUUUCUCUUCACUUUACAGUUUGCCUGAUGAACUUCAACUGCUGCAUGGAUCCUUUCAUAUAUUUCUUUGCAUGUAAAGGUUACAAGAGAAAGGUCAUGAAGAUGCUAAAACGGCAAGUCAGCGUAUCAAUUUCCAGUGCUGUGAGGUCAGCCCCUGAUGAAAAUUCACGUGAAAUGACAGAGUCGCAAAUGAUGAUACACUCCAAGUCUUCAAAUGGAAAAUAAAAAGGACCAUACCUUGGACUUCAUAGCAAAGUAAACUGUACAAUGAAUUCUGCAGGACUCCUUUACAAAGAAAAAUGACGAUUUGGCUUUCAAUUAGUAGGCCUUUCACCAUGUAUUAGUCCUCUCCUCUCUACCAGCAUGGAAGAUACACACACACACACACACACAUACACAUAUGUAUGUGUGUGUGUAUAUAUAUAUAUAUAUAUAUGUGUGCAUAUAUAUAUAAUAUCUCCAGGGAACAAUUUAAGCAUGUUUUACUUCAUAAAUGAAAUAAUACUCCAAAACAGAGGUUAUCUUAACAACUCUAAGCAUCUUUACAAAAAAACACAACACAAAAACAAGGAAAAAAAACACCUCUGCAUUCAUUUGGGAGACUGAGCCAUAUGACUACUGCUAGCCAACAACUUGAAAGAACAACGAGGAUGUUCCUUCCAACGCCUUUCCUGCCACAGCGAGCAUUGAUGGGAUCUUCGGGACCUGAUGGGACCUUUGUUAGCCUGAUGUUUGAAUGAUUAAACUACAGGACUCUCACCCCAAGCCCAUCUAUGUUGGACAUACAGCACAAAUAAGUAACAGACAUAUAUUAAGCCACUGGGAUUUCUGGCUGUAUCUGUGGCUCAACCAAAGCUAACCUAGUCUAAUAAGAGUGUUUAACCUACUUUGGCUGAAAAAAAUACAGUGUAAGAUAAGAAAAAUGUAUAUUCUACUCAGUUCUCCUGGUGAACAUACAUAAAUCUUUCCUUAGUCCCA